rnacentral:snRNA from 1 species
GACGGCGGCGGCUACGGCUC